rnacentral:rRNA from 1 species
UACAGAGGGGGCAAGCGUUGUCCGGACUGACUGGGCCUAAAGCGCGCGCAGGCGGUCGCGGGCGUCGGUGCUGAAAGGGCGCCGCUUAACGGCGCGAAGGGUGCCGAUACGCCGCGACUGGAGCGAUGGCGAGGGUGGUGGAAUUGCCGGUGUAGUGGUGAAAUGCGUAGAGAUCGGCAGGAACACCCGUGGCGCAAGCGGCCACCUAGCCGUCGGCUGACGCUGAGGCGCGACAGCGUGGGGAGCGAACCGG